UCCAGGACAGCCAGGGCUACACAGAGAAACCCUGUCUCGAAAAACCAAAAAAGAAAAAAGAAAAGAAAAGAAACAUGAAAUUUUGAAAUGUUUUGAGAGAUAAGUUAUAAAGUCUUUAAUAUGACACAAUUUGAAGUUUAUAUAAUACUAAGUAUUUAUUAAAUGAACUUGAGAUGUGCUGCAUAGAGCAGUUCAUUUGUCUCCUUGAGCCUGAAGUUUUGACAACUGACAAACAGAGAGAUGAUUAUUUUUACAACUAAAAAGUUAGCGCUUACUAAGGAAACAUCUGUCUCUUAAAGCCUCUUGUAUGUCAGUAUUGCUGACCUUAUCAAUCUUAAAUUCUUCACUAAUGUCCUGGGAAUCAGCAGCCCUAUUUCUUUUAAAGUUCUAGAAGUUUAAAUAUGAUAUUAUAUGGAUAUGGAAAUCAUUUUAGGACUUUUUGUAGUUAAAAUUAUUUUUUAACAGAAAACCUGAAGGAAUAUCUAGCACAAAAGAAUGUGAAUGUCAUUCUGAGACUUCUAAGUAGAAUGUGCCACAAUACAUUAUCUAUGGAAGUUGUCAUUUAGAUGUAAGAUUCCAGUGAUGAAAUCUCUUUCUAACAUGAGGAAGCCCUGCCUUUGAUAUCCAGCUCUGCAAAAAUAAAUCAACUAAUCCCCAUGUAAUGAACUGCUGUUUUCUUGCUUUUUUCUGAAGCUGUUUUACCUUAACAGUUUAUAAAUUGAAUUACUACUUUUCUAAGAAUUAGUUGAUGAUUUCACUGUUUUACAUGUCUGUAGAUGAAAAUAUACAUUUUUUUCCACUUUUACAUUUAAACUUAGAGAAUAAAGAGAUUUUUAGAAUAUAGUUUCAAAGCCAGGCAUGGUGGGUGGUAAACUCAUGUAAACCCAGCACUUGGGAAGCUGAGGCUAUGGGUUUGUGAGAGGGAGAUCAGCCUGGCCUGUAGUGAGUUCAAGAUCAGUUUGGGCUAUGUGGUAAGAAUCCACACACACCCCCGCACCCCCCCCCCAAAAGACCCAACAGGAACAUUUUCAGUAUGUUAGGAAUUAAAUUUAAUUCCUUGUGGUCUUUUUAGUGCAUGUGUGUGUGUGUGUGUGUGUGUAUAUAUAUAUAUAUAUAUAUAUAUAUAAUAUUAGCAUAUAUGUUAGCAUAUAUGUUAUAUAUAUGCAUAUGAUAUAUAUAUACUCACUCAACAAACAUUUAUUACAAAUAAGAUAUUUGUUUUACAGGAAUCAUUUUGAUUUACUCUCAAAACAUUAGCUUGAUUAGUAUAAAUAAAAGUCUCACCAGUUGAAAUAAGUUAUCAUGUCGUUCAAGUUUUCUUAGUACUUCAGUAUCAAAUUUUUCAUUUUUGUUAUAAUCAAUACAUAUGAAUUAUAAGUAGUUGGAAAAAAUACAAGAAAUUAAGUAAAUAGCCCAUAAUCUAGUCACUCAUGUAAAUUGCUGUUGUCAUUACACUAUAAUUUCAUUUAGUUCCUUUGUAUAUACAUAUGGGAGAUACUUUUACAUAGUUUUUAAAUAUACCUUUUUUCUUUUUUGCUUUGGUAAUAAGAUGAAUACAAAACAGAUUAUUAUAGAAUCUCAUGUAUAAGAAAUUAUAUACUCUUCAAUCCUAACAUUUAAAUUCACUCAGAAUGCUAAAAAGAAAAACAUUAUUUUCCCUAUUAUUCCACUUCAGCCUGAUACUUUUGUUCAUAGAUUUAGUCCUCUAGGGACUUUAAAAUGACUUACAUAUACAGGUUAUCUCUGACUUACCUGUGUUAGACUUAGAAAAAUGGUGUUUCUCAGCCAAGUAAGGUCUGGUCCUGCCCUUCUUACCAUUAUAAAAACUCCUUUUCCUCUCUGCUCUCCUUGUCUGUUUCUUCUUCCUGUUUGCCUUCAUCAGCAAGUAUCUCGCAUGAACUUGCCCUGUCAGUCACCAGGAUUCCAGUUACCAGUGCUACCCUUCCCUCCAUACUUCUGUCCCUGUCCUAGGGAGUCCUUCCAACUGAGUGACUGCCUACCUUCCCUUUGCUCUUAUGACUGAGGCAGCAGCUUGGUCACAACUGGAUUGGUAAAUUUUAGGGCCAGGGUUAAAGCUGUUCUUCUGUUUUUAAAAUCAUAAUAUUCCUCUGGGGAUCUGGUUACCUUGCUGAGAGUAAGAAAGGGCAUGGUAGACCCUGACUUUUCAAUAACAUACAUGUGUAAUUUUACAUGCUUCCCUUCCUGGGGGUUGAGGGUUAUUCUGCUUAUUUUCAUAAGGUAUUUGCAUUACAUAGCUACUUUAUAGAGGUCCUAAACACUAUUUUGGACAUUGUAUAAUAACCAAAGAAAUGCUUAAAUUAACACAAUUUUAGAUGGACCCUCACUUAGGUAGGUGGGACAACAGGAGGAUCUGCACCUCAAGGCCACCUUCAGCUAUAUACAACAGGUUGAAGACAGCCUGGGGUAUAUGAGACCCUGUCUCUAGAAAACAAUAAAACAAAACUUCCACAAUUAAAAAACAAAACCACGUAGAAUUACCAGUACUAUAGAAGCUCAGGUUAUAAGAUUUUUACUUUAAUCAUUUAACCAGUCACAGAUAAAAGUAAUCUUUAAAAAAAAAAAAUCACACUGAUUAUUUACUAAAUCUUAUUUCC
rnacentral:lncRNA from 1 species